UCCGGCCAUAUCACCUUUAAACACCUGUUCCGGUACGAUCACCGAAGUUGAGCAAUGUGGAGCCUGGCCAUUACCUAGAUGAGUGGUUGCUUGGGAAUUCAUGGUGAUGUAA